rnacentral:tRNA from 1 species
AAAAAUUAUUUUCAAAAACUUGCGGAUCUCUAUCCUUCUUACCCAAUUUCCAAAGUUUUUUUUCCGGCUUAGU